rnacentral:rRNA from 1 species
UACGGGGGGAGCAAGCGUUGUUCGGAUUUACUGGGCGUAAAGGGCGCGUAGGCGGUCAGCACAAGUCAGUUGUGAAAUCUCCGGGCUUAACCUGGGAACUGCAUUUGUGACUGCAUGGCUGGAGUGCGGCAGAGGGGGAUGGAAUUCCGCGUGUAGCAGUGAAAUGCGUAGAGAUGCGGAGGAACACCGAUGGCGAAGGCAGCCCCCUGGGCCAACACUGACGCUCAGGCACGAAAGCGUGGGGAGCGAACAGG